UGUCCAGUAACUCCUAUCCCUACCUCCCCGUGGUGCCGCCUGGGGUACGAGUAACCGAUCUUCCGGGUAUCCAACCCUGGUGGGACCUUGGUCGUAUGCUGACAGGGAAGG
rnacentral:ribozyme from 1 species